ACGAACGCUGGCGGCGUGCUUCACACAUGCAAGUCGAACGGAAAGGCCCUGCUUUUGUGGGGUACUCGAGUGGCGAACGGGUGAGUAACACGUGAGUAACCUGCCCUUGACUUUGGGAUAACUUCAGGAAACUGGGGCUAAUACCGGAUAGGAGCUCCUGCUGCCUGGUGGGGGUUGGAAAGUUUCGGCGGUUGGGGAUGGACUCGCGGCUUAUCAGCUUGUUGGUGGGGUAGUGGCUUACCAAGGCUUUGACGGGUAGCCGGCCUGAGAGGGUGACCGGCCACAUUGGGACUGAGAUACGGCCCAGACUCCUACGGGAGGCAGCAGUGGGGAAUAUUGCACAAUGGGCGGAAGCCUGAUGCAGCAACGCCGCGUGCGGGAUGACGGCCUUCGGGUUGUAAACCGCUUUCGCCUGUGACGAAGCGUGAGUGACGGUAAUGGGUAAAGAAGCACCGGCUAACUACGUG
rnacentral:rRNA from 1 species